UACUGCUAUCGGGGUGGGACUAAGACAUGCUAGUCGAGCGCCUUGAGCUAUGGCGAGGCGCGGCGUACAGCUCAGUAACACGUGGCUAACCUACCCUUAGGACGGAGACAACCCCGGGAAACUGGGGCUAAUAUCUGAUAGGUGAGGAGGCUUGGAAUGGUUCUUCGCUGAAAAGGCGUUGAAACCAUGCUUUUCAGCGUCGCCUAAGGAUGGGGCCGCGUCCGAUCAGGUUGUUGGUGGGGUAACGGCUCACCAAGCCUAUAACCGGUACGGGCCGUGAGAGCGGGAGCCCGGAGAUGGGCACUGAGACAAGGGCCCAGGCCCUACGGGGCGCAGCAGUCGCGAAAACUCCGCAAUGCGCGAAAGCGUGACGGGGCUACCCCGAGUGCCGUCCGCUGAGGAUGGCUUUUCCCCGGUGUAAUGAGCCGGGGGAAUAAGGAGAGGGCAAGUCUGGUGUCAGCCGCCGCGGUAAUACCAGCUCUCCGAGUGGUAGGGACGAUUAUUGGGCUUAAAGCGUCCGUAGCCGGCUUAGCAAGUCUUCUGUUAAAUUCAGCGACCUAAUCGUUGAGCCGCGGGAGAUACUACUAGGCUAGGAGGCGGGAGAGGCCGACGGUAUUCUCGGGGUAGGGGUGAAAUCCUAUAAUCCCGGGAGGACCACCAGUGGCGAAGGCUGUCGGCUAGAACGCGCUCGACGGUGAGGGACGAAAGCUGGGGGAGCGAACCGGAUUAGAUACCCGGGUAGUCCCAGCUGUAAACGAUGCGGGCUAGGUGUUGGGGUGGCUACGAGCCACUUCAGUGCCGCAGGGAAGCCAUUAAGCCCGCCGCCUGGGGAGUACGGCCGCAAGGCUGAAACUUAAAGGAAUUGGCGGGGGAGCACCACAAGGCGUGAAGCNUGCGGUUC
rnacentral:rRNA from 1 species